GACGAACGCUGGCGGCGUGCUUAACACAUGCAAGUCGAACGGAAAGGCCCUGCUUUUGUGGGGUUCUCGAGUGGCGAACGGGUGAGUAACACGUGAGUAACCUGCCCUUGACUUUGUGAUAACUUCAGGAAACUGGGGCUAAUACCGGAUAGGAGCUCCUGCUGCAUGGUGGGGGUUGGAAAGUUUCGGCGGUUGGGGAUGGACUCGCGGCUUAUCAGCUUGUUGGUGGGGUAGUGGCUUACCAAGGCUUUGACGGGUAGCCGGCCUGAGAGGGUGACCGGCGACAUUGGGACUGAGAUACGGCCCAGACUCCUACGGGAGGCAGAAGUGGGGAAUAUUGCACAAUGGGCGGAAGCCUGAUGCAGCAACGCCGCGUGCGGGAUGACGGCCUUCGGGUUGUAAACCGCUUUCGCCUGUGACGAAGCGUGAGUGACGGUAAUGGGUAAAGAAGCACCGGCUAACUACGUG
rnacentral:rRNA from 1 species